UUGGAGCCACUGCUCUAAAAGUACUCAGUUCACAAUACAGAGAAGAUUAGCAUGGCCUCUAUGCAAAAAUGACAUGGAAAUUUGUGAAUUGUUCCAUAUUUUU
ensembl:snRNA U6 U6 spliceosomal RNA